CGGAAUCAUUGGGCGUAAAGCGCGUGUAGGCGGUUAGGUAAGCCGGGGGGGAAAUCCCUGGGCUCAACCGAGGAAGUGCAUCCGAAACUAACUAGCUAGAGAAUGGUAGGGGAAGGUGGAAUUCCGUGUGUAGAGGUGAAAUUCGUAGAUAUACGGAGGAAUACCGGUGGCGAAGGCGGCCUUCUGGACCAUUUCUGACGCUGAGACGCGAAAGCGUGGGGAGCAAACAGG
rnacentral:rRNA from 1 species